UAGCUGUGUGAUAAGCACAAAGUGAAUUAUUCUUUCACCUUUUUUUAAAAGAAUACCGUGUAAUUUUCACUAAAAAUGUAACGCCCGAAAUUCUCAAAAUCAUUUUAGAAAUAUU